rnacentral:rRNA from 1 species
GACGAACGCUGGCGGCGUGCUUAACACAUGCAAGUCGAACGGAAAGGCCCUGCUUUUGUGGGGUGCUCGAGUGGUGAACGGGUGAGUAACACGUGAGUAACCUGCCCUUGACUUUGGGAUAACUUCAGGAAACUGGGGCUAAUACCGGAUAGGAGCUCCUGCCGCAUGGUGGGGGUUGGAAAGUUUCGGCGGUUGGGGAUGGACUCGCGGCUUAUCAGCUUGUUGGUGGGGUAGUGGCUUACCAAGGCUUUGACGGGUAGCCGGCCUGAGAGGGUGACCGGCCACAUUGGGACUGAGAUACGGCCCAGACUCCUACGGGAGGCAGCAGUGGGGAAUAUUGCACAAUGGGCGGAAGCCUGAUGCAGCAACGCCGCGUGCGGGAUGACGGCCUUCGGGUUGUAAACCGCUUUCGCCUGUGACGAAGCGUGAGUGACGGUAAUGGGUAAAGAAGCACCGGCUAACUACGUG